rnacentral:rRNA from 1 species
GAUGAACGCUGGCGGCGUGCCUAAUACAUGCAAGUAGAACGCUGAAGGAAGGAGCUUGCUCUUUCCGGAUGAGUUGCGAACGGGUGAGUAACGCGUAGGUAACCUGCCUGGUAGCGGGGGAUAACUAUUGGAAACGAUAGCUAAUACCGCAUAACAGUAGAUGUUGCAUGAUAUCUACUUAAAAGGUGCAAUUGCACCACUACCAGAUGGACCUGCGUUGUAUUAGCUAGUUGGUGAGGUAACGGCUCACCAAGGCGACGGUACAUAGCCGAGCUGAGAGGGUGAUCGGCCACACUGGGACUGAGACAAGGCCCAGACUUCUACGGGAGGCAGCAGUAGGGGAUCUUCGGAAAUGGAGGGAAGUCUGACCGAGCAACGCCGGGUGAGUGAAGAAGGUUUUCGGAUCGUAAAGCUCUGUUGUAAGAGAAGAACGAGUGUGAGAGUGGAAAGUUCACACUGUGACGGUAUCUGACCAGAAAGGGACGGCUAACUACGUG